UAAUACAAGAUGGGGUGCUUGCAGAAAGCGGGCUGAGAUCAGACCCAUAAGCUGAUUUGGAUAAUGCCAACGUAGUGUGAUUGUAUACAAUGACU
rnacentral:ncRNA from 1 species